GGACAGCUCAGUUCCACGCUGAGAUGCCAGCUCUGUUUCAGCUGUGGUGUCCCUGGGGCUGCUCCAAGGGGUGGCAACAGCUCCCAGGGCACUACAGGAUGCUGUGUGUGGAAACUGUGUCUGUGAGGAGCAGGACAGCUCUGCUCUGGCCAGCAAAUGGCUUUGAAUCAAUUUGUAAUGCUACAUCCAAGACAUGUAAUAUCACCUGCAAAACUUCCAUGUGUGACUGAAGUAACCUGGUAUGGAAAUCAAAAACACCUGUGCUGGAUGAAGCUCGGCCUGUGACUGGAACGUUUAGGAAAGCACAUGUAGGAAGUGAGCACAGCAGACUGUAAGGAGCAGACAUUUAUAGGACAACCUUUCAUAAUCACCAG
rnacentral:lncRNA from 1 species